GAUGAACGCUAGCGGCAGGGCUUAGCACAUGCAAGUCGAGGGGCAGCAUGAUGAAAACUUUCGGGUUUCAUUGAUGGCGACCGGCGCAAGGGUGCGUAACGCGUGAGCAACUUGCCCUUAUCAGGGGGAUAACCGGUGGAAACGCCGACUAAUACCCCAUAGUAUCACUUUAAGGCAUCUUUUAGUGAUUAAAGAAUUUCGGAUAAGGAUAGGCUCGCGUGACAUUAGCUAGAUGGCGGGUAACGGCCCACCAUGGCGACGAUGUCUAGGGGUUCUGAGAGGAAGGUCCCCCACACUGGAACUGAGACACGG
rnacentral:rRNA from 1 species